GUCAUAACCAUUGUCCACCAAAGAGCAGCACUGAGCAGAAAUAACACUGCUCCUGUUCAUUCUCCAUCAGUGAGGGGCCGGUGCUGGACACUGUGUAGGGACACGGGAAUGCAAAGUCAUACACAUGACUGUGACUGAUGCACUAUCUCCAGGACAUGGAGUAGCAUUUCCGGACCUACAGCAAGACGUUGGAUGAAGGCAUAGCCCCAGAAAUAACACUGGUCCUGUUCAUCAGUGAGGGGCCGGUGCUGGACACUGUGUAGGGACACGGGAAUGCAAAGUCAUGCACAUGACUGUGACUGAUGCACUAUUUCCAGGACAUGGAGUAGCAUUUCGGGACCUACAGCAAGACGUUGGAUGAAGGCACAGGCCUAGGAAUCAUGCACAUACACAGAAACAUUUGCCCAAAUUAUAGAGGUAACCUCCUUUAGUAUGCCCAGAGGAAGGGCCAUACAGUAGCCAUGGAUUCCCUACAGGUUUCCUCCCCUCUGGAGGUUUUUCCUGUCCUGAGUAUUAGUUACUGUACGCUCUUUGUGAGUGAUGGGAGGUUACAAAAAAUCCCCUACACAAACAUUUUAAUAAAUAAUAAAUAAAGUUCCCUUUUUUUUAA